rnacentral:snoRNA from 1 species
AUCAUUGAUGAUGGUGAGAUGGCAUCUCAUAUAAUUAAUGGUCUUGAUUUGGAGUACAAUCCCUUUGUUUCUUCAAUGAUUGGCUGUGCAAAUCCUCCUUCUCUCUCCGAGCUAUACUCUCAUCCGAUGUCCUAUGAGC